GGCCGCUUGGCCCAAUGGUUAAGGCGUCUGACUACGAUUGAGCGUGUGCAUAUCACGCGCUUGCUUAAUAUCUAGGUAAUCAGGAGAUUCUGGGUUCGACUCCCAGGGUGGCCU